CCUACGGGAGGCAGCAGUGGGGAAUUUUGGACAAUGGGCGCAAGCCUGAUCCAGCAAUGCCGCGUGCAGGAUGAAGGCCUUCGGGUUGUAAACUGCUUUUGUACGGAACGAAACGGUCUGCCCUAAUACGGUGGGCUAAUGACGGUACCGUAAGAAUAAGCACCGGCUAACUACGUGCCAGCAGCCGCGGUAAUACGUAGGGUGCGAGCGUUAAUCGGAAUUACUGGGCGUAAAGCGUGCGCAGGCGGUUAUAUAAGACAGAUGUGAAAUCCCCGGGCUCAACCUGGGACCUGCAUUUGUGACUGUAUAGCUAGAGUACGGUAGAGGGGGAUGGAAUUCCGCGUGUAGCAGUGAAAAUGCGUAGAUAUGCGGAGGAACACCGAUGGCGAAGGCAAUCCCCUGGACCUGUACUGACGCUCAUGCACGAAAGCGUGGGGAGCAAACAGGAUUAGAUACCCUGGUAGUCCACGCCCUAAACGAUAGUCAACUGGUUAGUUGGGUUCUUCACUGACUCAGUAACGAAAGACUAACGACGUGAAGUUGACCGCCUCGGGGAGUACGGCCGCGAAGUGAAACUUAAAAGGAAAUUAGUAAG
rnacentral:rRNA from 1 species